GAGGGCAUAGUUCCGUGGUAGAGUGCAUGCUUAGCAUGCAUGAGGUCCCAGGUUCAAUCCCCAGUACCUUCA
rnacentral:tRNA from 1 species